UACGUAGGGGGCAAGCGUUGUCCGGAAUCAUUGGGCGUAAAGAGCGUGUAGGCGGCUCGGUAAGUCCGCUGUGAAAGUCCAGGGCUCAACCCUGGAUUGUCGUUGGAAACUGCCUCGCUAGAGUCCGGAAGAGGAGAGCGGAAUUCCUGGUGUAGCGGUGGAAUGCGCAGAUAUCAGGAAGAACACCCGUGGCGAAGGCGGCUCUCUGGGACGGUACUGACGCUGAGACGCGAAAGCGUGGGGAGCGAACAGG
rnacentral:rRNA from 1 species